UGACAAUUUCAAGCUUUGGCCUCAUGCAUUGCCUUCUCUCAUGGAGCUUAGAAGUAGGCUUCCUUUGAAUGGCGGAUUUUAUCACUGUUGCUUCUGGUACCGCUGCAGCAUUGCUCUCUGAUGGACCUGUCAAGCGCUGCACGACUUCUCUGAAAGUGUCGGUGUCAGUGUGGACAAAUGUAGUGACGGGCUUGCAAGUUGCAACGUUCUGACUUCCUUGGUUAUUCAUUUAAGGAAUCACAAGAAAUGAUGAUAAAGAACUUUUGAUAAAAAAAAAAUGAAAAGACCAGAGACAUACCUGAAAGAGCAAGCCAGAGGCAGCAGGUGAAUGUGAAUCCUAGUUUCUGAACCCAACAAACAAGAAACUUAAAAGAAGAAGAAGACAACAAGAGGAAGAGAGAGAGAGAAUUAAAGAGAAGGUAUAAAGACUGUUGUUGUUGGUCUAAUGGUCACAGCUCAAAACUUGUUCAUAUACCAGAAAAGAGAAACGAGGAAAAGCAGGAGAAGAAUAUGGAGGAAAUAGAGAAAGACUCUUUUAUCCCUUUAUUGUUAACCGUUUAUUUUUUGGUUCAAGUUUUUGUCACUUUCUUUUUCUUUUGUUAAUAGAAAUUUGUUUGGUCAAA